GGAUUAGAUACCCUGGUAGUCCAUGCUGUAAACGAUGGGCACUAGGUGUUGGAGGAGUCUACCCCUUCAGUGCCGCAGCUAACGCAUUAAGUGCCCCACCUGGGGAGUACGAUCGCAAGGUUGAAACUCAAAGGAAUUGACGGGGGCCCGCACAAGCGGUGGAGCAUGUGGUUUAAUUCGAUGCAACGCGAAGAACCUUACCUGGGCUUGACAUGCAGGGGACAGGUGUAGAAAUACACCCUUCUUCGGACUCCUGUACAGGUGCUGCAUGGCUGUCGUCAGCUCGUGUUG
rnacentral:rRNA from 1 species